AGAGUUCGAUCCUGGCUCAGGAUGAACGCUAGCUACAGGCUUAACACAUGCAAGUCGAGGGGCAUCAGGAAGAAAGCUUGCUUUCUUUGCUGGCGACCGGCGCACGGGUGAGUAACACGUAUCCAACCUUCCGUACACUCAGGGAUAGCCUUUCGAAAGAAAGAUUAAUACCUGAUGGUAUAUCUGAAAGGCAUCUUUCAGCUAUUAAAGAAUUUCGGUUAUCGAUGGGGAUGCGUUCCAUUAGGCAGUUGGUGAGGUAACGGCUCACCAAACCUUCGAUGGAUAGGGGUUCUGAGAGGAAGGUCCCCCACAUUGGAACUGAGACACGGUCCAA
rnacentral:rRNA from 1 species